rnacentral:lncRNA from 1 species
AGAUAAGUUUUUUGACACUGGAAAAUAAACCACGUAAUUCUAAUCCCUGCUAGGCACCUUCCAUACAUUAUCAUAUUUAAUUAUCACAAUAACUCUAACAGAUGAGGACACUGAGAGGAGAGAAGAUAAGUUACUUGUCCUAAUUAUAAAUCUAAUUAGUGGUAAAGUUAGAAUCUGGUCAGGAGGAGAACUCAAACCAGUGUCUUCUUUACCACUCAAAAAGGCUUCAUUAUAUGGAACUUAGCUAUAAUUUAUCCAUUGAUUUAGCAAUAUGGUUUUUCUUUUCUUUCUGAAAGCCCACAAAACCGAGAAGAGGGAGGAAAUUAGAUUCUUGUGUAAGACAUAAACAGAAGGGUUAUAAUAGCUCCAAAAACAAAACUGACUCCAGUGGUAUUCUGUUGGCAAAAAUAACUGAAAAAGUAGGAAAGUGAAUGCCAGUUCAGAAGAUUAGUAUAGAGGGAGAUCACAGCAAAGAGCUGAGGUGGGAUUCCCUUGUCAAGAGUCAAGUGAGAGAGGCCCUGAGUGUGGCAGAGUCAGUGCUCUAGUUUCAGGGAAGGAGAGCGACAAAGAUUAGUAAAUCCAUGCACAGGGCUCUGACUGCUUAAUGGAGGUACAGACCAAGUCUCAGGACUGGGCAGAGACCCAGAACUAACAGAAGAAAAAAUGUUACCAGAGCAAGAAGGUAUCAGUUCUACAAUGGCAUGAGAAGGCACACUGGGAAAGAAGCUUUUGGUGAAUGAUCCAGAAAUGUGACCUACUUUCGAGGCACAUUAGUAUGAAGACCUGGAGUCAAGAUGGAGAUGGGGCAGAACUUAAGGGGACAAGAUUCUGUUGGACUAAAGAAAUUUGACCAAACUGAAGGACUAAGUUGAUUUGGAGAAAGUGCAGGUUUCCAUCUUCCAAACUGUCCUGAUAUCCUCAGGAUGAAUAUCAUCAAUUGGGAAGUUGAUUUUCACAAGUUCUAGAAAAACAGCCAAGUAUGCAACAUCCACUUUUGUUGUCUGACCACUAACCUUUUUUAAUUUUUUAAAAAUUUCUUUUGUCUUUCUAUUGACCUAUAUG